AGGGGUGUAGCUCAGUAGGAGAGCACUUGCAUAGCACAUGUGAGGCCCUGAGUUCAAUCCUCAGCACCACGU
rnacentral:tRNA from 1 species